rnacentral:lncRNA from 1 species
CACACACACACACACAUAUACACGUGUGUGUCACUGCGUGUUUCUGUGUGAGUUUGUAUGUAUGUAUGUAUGUAUGUAUGUAUGUAUGUAUAUGUUUGUGUCUUUGCUAUGCAUUUGCCCCUCACCACCGCUUGACAGAUGGUUUUGGUUUGUUUGCUUCCUCGUAAUGAAGCGGUUCAGCAAAUGAGACUGAUGGAAUAAGUGCCAGGCUCUGCAAAAUAUUAACAAGCACCAGGGUUGAAUUGUUCAACCAAAUCUCUGCAAGGGAACGCCCCAACAUGCUCACAGUCUAAUGACUGAAACAAGUAAAAGAUAAAAGAUAUUGAUAGAUACAUACAGACACUUACUCGGUAAAUCUUGUAUACAUUUACUAUAGUACAAAUGUGGAUGUGACCCCUAAUGUUUAUUUUGCAAGCAUUUUUCUACGACAAAUGCUUUCCCUGAUCUACAUUUCCUUAUCUUCCAUAUUCUACGAUAUCUCCCAUAUGCAACGCAAUUCAUGGAUCAUUUCCUUUGCGUCUCCUCUCUCCGAUUUCCCUUAACUGUUUGCGAAAUACAUAAACACUAACUUGCAGAGAUACACAGAUACACACACACAAUUACACAUUCUCUUUGACACACAUAUAUUACGCAUACACACACAAUCGUAUACACAUGCACAUAGAGUCCUAAUUAAUUUGGAUAAUUUCAAGAAAUUCAGAAUACGUUUCACAAAAUUGAUUUACAUGCUUCAGGGCUAAUUUGAUCUUAGUCAACUUGCUGACCUUAGUAAAAUCUUGAUAAAUCUAAUCAGUAUUGAAACACGAAAUUCUACCUUAACAUUUGUGGCCUUGUGCCCAUAUUAGAAAUCAAUAUUUUCACACGACAUGUGUUGAACAGCUUCGUUAAAGGAGAAAACCAUGUUGUUUUAGUUCAGCUUCAAGUCAAUUCGGCCGAAACAGACUUAUAAUAAAAUGCCUUCCAUUGAUGAUCAACCGUUUUAUUUUUUUAUUUUUUCGAAAUGUGUCAAGGAAUGCACACUGACAUCUUCCCUUUCAAUUUGUCAAGAGAGUUGGGUAUGUUUUGAAAAAGUUUUGGCUAUUACUUUCUACAUGUCAAUUUUCUACAUGUCAAUUAAUAGUGCAGAGACGAAUUGUUCUUCACGUGGGUAAGAAAUCUGUCACUGAAUGUAUGUUAUUUUCGGAGUUGAUGUCACGGGUCAUACGUUCUUUCUAAAAUCCUUUGAAGAAUACUAAAAAAAAAAAAAAAGCGAUCAGGCGAUCAUCGCAUCAAAAUACAAUUAAAGUAAUGGGCAAAAAGAAAAAUAUAGAACACCCCUUUGUCUUCAUCCAUCCCAAAUGAACUGAAAUGCAAGAGCAAAUAAUAUUUUUAUCUAAAGACUAGCAGUAUCGCCCGGCGUUGCUCGGAUUUGUAAGGGAAUUAACUAUAUAAGCAUUUUUAGAGAGUUACUUCCCUUAUAGAUGCCAAUUCGGGCUUUCUUAGCCAUUUCAGUUUUGGUGUCUUCAAGCCAUGAAGUCGUUGUUCUAAAAGAACGCUGGUCUCCUUGACAACGCUUUACGACGUUGAUUUCAUUACACUCCCUUCCCCACAGCUUCACGAGGGAGGGAAGAAGGGGAGAAGUAAACAGGUGCAGGUGUGACCAUGGACGCCAACUCCGCCGCCAUCGACACACGAAAAUUAUGCAUUAAAAUGGAAUAAAAAAUGAUGUUAAAUUAUUUUUAAAAUCGUAGACUCAUCGUAGACGCGCGCUAAUACUCAGACGGGCUCGAUAUGAAUCACGACUAUAAGAUACCCGAAUUUGGUUAAACUGCACCGCAAAAUGUGGGAGUAGUUAGGAAUCUAAAUCGAAGGGGACAGACACUCACACAACUACAGUUAUAUAUAUAUAGAUGUCACUUAUUUGUGGUAAUCAGAAUGUUGUUCUUUAGCUGCAGCCUAUCGCGCAUAGUCGAUCUGCUGUUUUCAUUAUUGUUGCUGUUCUUUAGUCUCAGGACAUUUCUGAUCGAGCUGACCUAUGACGAAAGGCGUUCUCCGAAUAAGCACUUCUCGUGUUAACCUGGUGUUUCAAGGGCUACACACCCCGGAAUGUCUUUUCUAAAAGAACAAAAGAAAAAAACACACACACACGGUAGUAGGAUGACAUUAAGUAUAUGUUUGAUCGUUAUAUCUCGUUGGUCGCGCAAUCACAUAGGAACUCUCUCGCUCCAUAGCUGGGAGUUGUAUUGUAAAUCUUAGUAGUAGUUGGAGGGUGGAGUAUUUUCUGGAAGUGAGGAGGAAGGUCUGUCUCUUUUUAAACAGUCACUGCUACAUUAGUGAUGUGCGUUUACAUGUUGAGAUCCUCAGUGAUAGUAAGGCCAAAUACUUAUAGUGACUUUGAGGGUUCUAGUUGCAUGUGGUACAUGUAAACAUAUUGCGAUAAUAUUUUCUUACGUGUAAUUUCUUUGACCUUGUAUUGUUGAAGGUGGCAAUAUUUGUAUAAUUUCGUUGGAGUAUGUUUUCGAUGUUUCUGUUCAUGGAGUCAGUUUAGCAUGAAGGUUUAGCAUAAAGAUCUAGAUUGCAUGAAGAUGACGCUUGGGUGUUGAAGGUUAGCGUGAAAGGAAGAAUAGUGUCACUGGUGUAAGAUUGGUGUUGGCCCACUCUUUUUAAGGGUGUAGGGUGUGAAUUAAGAGGAAUUUAACAAGUGUUUCUGGUAGGUCAAGUGAUCACGUACACGUUCCAUUGUUGGCUCAUAUGAUAUGAGUUAUUGAAUAUAUUACAAACUUACAAUUUAAAACACAUACGAAUGAAUGAAUUCAGCUCUAUGUGUUUCAGAUAUAAGUUUGUGAUUUCGCUUAGUCUUAAAGACUUUGAAUUUCUGUUUCCUUCAUUGGUUCUUAUAAAUCUUUUGAAGGGAGGCACUCUUGCUAUGCUCUUAGUAGCAUGCGCCAAUCUAUGUUAUGCAAUGGAUUUCUGUCUUCUUUCUAAGGGCUUUGGUGAGUGAAUUCGUAAACCUGCUUGAAAAGCAAGUUUGCUGUUAGCGUGAAGGUUAAUUAUCUAGAAUUGUUAGCACAGGUGAUGCACUGUAGUACAGUUUGUUAGAGUUACCAAUUAAUUAACUACUUAUUUGUAUAUCAUUUUACUGCUUCUUGGAGGUUAUGUUGGAUACAAAUAUUUACCAGUUUUCUUAUUUUUGACGCUUUACAUUGUUAAUUUUUCGUUUACUGUUUGAUUUUUAGUUUUAUUUGCGAUAUUUCUGAAUAAGUAUUUUGUAUACUUUAACAUUUUUAUUAAGUUUUUUUCUUGUUUCAGUUGUGUAAUUAGAAUUUGUGUUUGUUUAUAUUACCUUGUGGGAUGCGUUUCUGGAAGCUUCUACAAUUAUUUUAUCUAAUAUAAGCUAUGCAGUAACAGGAUUGGAGAUUACGGUACAGUCCAAUUUGAUGAACCUUAAAUAUCUCUUAUGUAAGAGAAGUUUCGAGGGUAGGGUUUUGAAGUUUGUGAAAAUGUUUAUUUUGAUUAUUGAUGUGUGAAUGCUUUGAAAUGAUGAAAAACAUUCGCUGAGAUAGAAUUGGGAAAUGUUUACCAUGUGGUACUCCUAAGUGUUAUAGUUAUCUCGGCUUGGUAUCUGGGCUUAUUUAAGUGGAUUGUGAACGAUAAAAAAAUUAAAAAAAAAGAAUUUAGAUAUGUUGCUAUUGUAUUAGAUCUUUUCUUUUGCUAUAUUAGUUUUCUACAAAGAUGUGAUGUGCGCACUCAAGUUUUUUCAAAUUAUGGUUGCUUGGCAGAGAAUUAACGCAGUAGUUGAUGGGUGUUUUGGGAUGGUUGGUUGGUUGGUUGGUGAGGUUGAAAGUAAUAUGUCUUCAUAUAUUAUAAGAAUGUUGAUAUAGUUUAACUCCAGUACAACACUGAUCAAAGAUGUUUCCGUUGCAGUUACCUUUUAAUUUAAUCACAUAUCUACAAUAACAUUCCCCUAUAUAACAGUUUUUUUUCUUACACCUGCAAUCAGUGAUUUUGGGCAAUAUUUUGGUCGGUGUUUCUAGAAGUAUGAAGUCACAAUGGAACAGUUAAUUUCUCAGCUCAUAAAUCAUGUGCUAUUUGUUGUUAUUUAGAUUUAAGUCAGCUCUGAUCGAUAAACUUAUGAAGGAAAGGCGCGGCGGCUGUGAACACAAGACUGUAUCUAAGACCACAUUGUCCAAUGCUAUGUGUUCUUCCUUCUCUUAAAACAGUAAGGUGGGAUUUCAUGGAAGUUUGGUUGCAAUUUCUGAAGACCACAUAGAUACUUCUACUGUGUUCCUUCUUGUAAUUUACCACAGGUGACUUAAUGUCUGUUGUUAUUGUCUAAUAAAUGAAUCUGUAAGAAUAUAGUACUAAAUGCAGAAUUGUAUACUUGUUACAAGCUAGAUAUUGUGACGCAGCAUAACUUGUGCUAUUGUGACGCAGCAUAACUUGUGCUAUUUACAGCAUUUUUAGAUCAUGUUUUACUGUUGUUCUUUUUAAAUCUUUUUAAACAGGAGAGAUUGUAGCACUAAUGAGUUUCCACAGCAAGUCUGUGACUUGUGAGAGGGAGAGAGGAAGGUGCUCUUAACUGUAGACUUGGUCAGAAUGCUUGCAACUGAGUGGACUCUGCUAAAGGCACACAAGGUGUUUGGUGGGAAAUAAUAAAGUAUCUUUGUUCCAUAAAAAGAAUUAUGAAUAUGUAUUAUGAAUCUGUGGAGAACAUUGGCUAUUUUCGCUGUUUUGUGAGUGAUAUGACUUGAAUUUGAAUAUUGGAUGUUGUUCUAUUUGUCAUAGCCGCAGGUUUGUCAUGCUGGAGCAAAACUUACAAUCAAAGAUUGCAUUAUCCCAAUAUCCUUCAAUAUGUAACUCUAUAGGGUUAUGUUUUAGAGAGAUGAUUAAGGGAUAAGGUAUGACUGGUGUUGUUCAUAUUUUAACCUAAGGCAUUAUUAAUACACUAGCGUUGUUAUUUUUUGUGUAGAACCAAUAUAGUAUUUGGGUGUAGUUUAACCGAGUCUGUUCGUGGUUUUGCCUUAUCUUUUUAUAUAUUCUACGCCUACAGUAAAUUUUGUGGAAAGGUUAUCGGCAAUAAUUAAAAUUUUCAAGGAUUUCUUCUUGAUUCAUAAUCAACACAGUCUUCACAGUUGAUGUAUUUCCUUGACACAUUUGCAAUAUUAUCAGGAGACAUGUUAAUAGUUAAUUAUGAGAUUUCAAGCAUUUCGACAGAUAAUUAGAAGUUUCUCAACCAAAACCUGAAUGAUCUUAGAAUCUCAGAAGAACGUGUUUGAUUUUCCGAUUUCUUCAAACAAAAUUGGUUCUAAAUGAUUGUAUCGGCACGCUAUAAAAUCAAAUCUUUUUUUACUCGUCGGGAGUUUAACAAAUUGCAGUUAUCUAACUUUUCGUAUUCCUCAUAAUGUUGUAUGUCACGACUGAGAGGGUUUCCCCGUGGAAGCUUUAAACUGUGUAUAUAACACAGACUGCAUCCUUGAAGCAAUAACACCAUAGCUUAUAAAAAAAAUUCUAGCAAGUCUUCGACUCUAAAUCUAGCUGGUCAGGAAAUAAUGUGAUAAUUUAACUCAACAAAAUUGGAACGAAAUAUUCAACGAAGAUUCUUAUUCAGUCAAAAACAAAGAAUAAAUUUCACGAGUAAACAGGUGCUUUUCACCAGCAGUCUAUUUAAUUUGUUUUCAUUUAAAGUUAAACUAAAAUCUACAACAACGUACCAAGUGCAAAUCCAGAAACCUUACACCUGUUACAUUUAUGUUUAAUAACCCUCUCAAUUUUAGGCUCCAGAACUAGACGGUUGAAAUUCUGUUAAGCAUUUUGUUCGGCGUGCUAAUAACUCUGCCUGCUCACCGCCUUUAAUUCUUUCUACUAUAGGUACAAGACCUGAAAUUUUCUGAGGAUGUGCUUGUUGAUUAAAAUAAGUGCUUAUGCGACACUGAUUCUAUCGAUCCCGGAAAGAUGAUAGUCAAAGUCGACCUCUGUCCUGCGAGGUAACGAUCCUGUCAGCUCGCUGCCUUUGGCUAUGUUUAUUCAAUACACCCUUCCUUAAUACGCAUUAAAUAUUGUAAACUUAAUACACAUUAACUGUUGAUCGCCCCAUUAGAACCUUUUUAUUAAUUACCCAAUAAUACAUUUGGCAUUAGAGAACGUUUGCCUAAAGCUGUAUAGGUAUAUAUUAGCAAUUCGUGUUUCCCAAUAUUUCUAUAAAAAUGUUUUCGGUAAAAAUACAACAAGAUGUUUUCCCUGAAGCAGCAUUAGUAAACUAACUCCAAUCUCUUAAGUUGUAAUCCCUAGAACUCAGAAGAGAGUGCCAUAACUUUAUUUGCGCCUAGAAUAUACUGAAAAGUGAAGUACUUGACUUUGGUAUAUUGAAUAAACACACAAAGAGGAAUACCUUAUCAAUUGCUCGAUUUCACGUCAUUUAAUACACGGCAUUUCGUCACAGUAAACAUGUCUUCUGUGAACGCACGUCAUUUAAUUUUUUACCUAUAUAAAUCAGAAACGCUUCUGAUAAUGCAUAAGCUUUAUUUUCGUAUGACUCAGACCCCAAUUUUUCUCUUACGAUAUAACAUCUUCAGAAUGUUAUGAACAGUGUAGAAUAUACAAUCCUUCAAUUCACAGGUUGCCCAACAGAAAUAUAAACAUACGAGGCUUUAAAAAUUACACAAGUAAAACAGCUGCACGAAUACUGAACGCCAUAAGUAAUAAUAACAAAAACAAAAAGAAAAUGUUCCUGUAUGGGAAGUAGUAAAAUGAAUUUAAAAAACGAUGGUACAAAGUUCGCAACGUUCUACUUUCUCAUUUUUCGAUUAACUAAAAGCCAAUUAAAGAUAACACAAAAUAUGUAAAUAUUACAAUACACAAUUACACACACACACUGACAUACAUACAAAACUAUAUUAAUAUGUACGUGCGUCCGUGUUUGUGUAACUAUAACAUCUAUAUAUAUAUAUACAUAUAUACAGUCAAUCAAAAAAAAAAAAACACAGAGAAAGCAGAAAAAACACAAAUGAAUGUUUAGACGUGACACAGGAAAUGUAAUGAUGAGAUUCUCAAAGAAGGAAAAGAGUAGUAGUUUUAGGUUUCGAGCAGAGCUUUUCUUCGGAAACAGAAAAAACAAGAAUGUCCGAGACGAAAGAGGAGAAAAAAAUCGCCAAUAAUCACGUGUGGUUACAUUAUAUGUUUAUAUACAUAUACAUACAUACAUAUCUAUCUAUCUAUCUAUCUAUCUAUCUAUCUAUCUAUCUAUCUAUCUAUCUAUCUAUCUAUCUAUCUAUCUAUCUAUCUAUCUAUCUAUCUAUCUAUCUAUCUAUCUAUCUAUCUAUCUAUCUAUCUAUCUAUCUAUAUACGUGGAGAAGUCAGAAAUUAUCCGCACAUUCGCCAUAACAUAUCUUUAUUAUUGUCACACUGCCUUCUGUGCAUAGUACUUAUAGUUGGUGCUAUUAGGGUCACGUGAUCGACGUUUGAGCCUGGUUGCGCCAUUUUUCUUUCUGGCUUUACAGUAUAAGCAUAGGCGUUCCACUAGCAAUGUGCACCAAAGAAGAACAAAGAGCAGUAAUCCGAUUUCUCUGAUCGGAGGUUGUCAAGUGCUAAAAUUCAUCGGAGGCUUUUAGCACAGUACGGGGACAGUGCACUACAGCGUAGAAGUGUGUAUAAGUAGGUCAAGAAGUUUAAAAGUGACAGGACAAGCGUGACUAAUGAAGAGGGAGUAGGACGUCCGUCAACUUCCACCACUGACGAGAAGAUUCAGCAAGGUUGAUAGAUGGCAAUGGUAAACCGUUUUACCAUUACCAUCUCUCGGAUCACUGUUCUCGUUUCUUCUUUCGUGAACAUUGCUAGUGGAGCAGAUAUAUUUACAUUGUAAAGCCAGAAAGAAAUAUGAACCUUUGAAAAAAAUGUUAUGGCAAAAGUGCCAUAACAUUUCAUUUACCCUCGUAUAUCUAUCUAUCUAUCUAUCUAUCUAUCUAUCUAUCUAUCUAUCUAUCUAUCUAUCUAUCUAUCUAUCUAUCUAUCUAUCUAUCUAUCUAUCUAUCUAUAUAUAUAAUAUAUAUAUAUAUAUAUAAUAUAUAUAUAUAUAUAUAUAUAUAUGUAUAUAUAAUUGCUGCGUGGAAGGUGUUUAUAAGCCAUUUAAGAAAUACACAAAAACCGUUAGAUUCACUUCAACAUUUAAAUUUAAUUUGUCUAAAUGACUUAUAAAUACCUUCCACGCAGCAACUGUUUUCGUUCCAGCACACGAUCUCAGAUCAAGUCACUCGCUAUGCAAGUACAUCACCCCCCUCUCCCUCUCUCUCUCUCUCUCUCUAUAUAUAUAUAUAUAUACACACGCAUAUCAUCAUUUAACGCCCGUUUUCCAUGCUGACAUGGGUUGGACUUAUAGAAUUAAAUAGAUAGAUAGGUACAUAGAUACAUAGAAAGAUCCUCAAGCGCACAUAUAUAUACAUUUAAAUAUACUGAUAAAUUAUUGUUUAAGCAAAUAUAAUUUCCGUAGUUCAUAUUCUGCACGCACAAUACUUAAUCAAAAUACGUGUCUAUAUACACCCAAGAAUUUGUGCAACUCUGUACACAAUUACGUUCGUGUUCAGCGCACAUAUACGUGUGUUUACUUGUUUGUGUACAUGUGUAACUGCGCAUGCGUAUGUGUGCACUAGAUGGAUAUAUGUAUAUGCGUGUGGGAUAUCUAUGUGAAUAUUAACUUCGUUUUAUCUCCAUUCAGUUCACAUGAUAGCCUGUUGAGGUGAACUGCUGGGGGCAAUAGAUAAAAAUACGUUCAAACGUUAUUUUUAUUUCAUUUGUUAUAUUUUUCCUUAUUUAUUAUUAUUUUUUUAACAGUUUUGUUUUUUUAAUGUUCUCGGUCAUUUCUUAGUUUACACAAUCUACCAUGUGGUUAUGUUUACCAACUAUUAUCAGUAUUGGUGCGUGGCCAAAGAUCGAGUUCUGUGAUUCCCUUCUGCUUCUGAUGCCGUGAAUUGCUAGGAUCACUAGAGAACUGCAUUGGCUUGCACGGUAGCACUAAAUUAAAAUCCCGCUGAGGUUAUCCCUACUUUUCAUCUAUUCGGCGUCGAUAAUAAAGCACCGAUCUUGGGCGAUGGAUUGGUGUAACACUUAGUAGGUUGGGUAGGUUCUUUGCUGUAUCUCUUCCGGAAGUUUGCAUUUUAUCAGCAACACAUGCAACGGCACUGGUGCCAAGCUGUGGUUGCCUAAGUUUCGACAUUGUUGUUGUGCAGAUGUGAGACUUGAGUAAAUGGACAGCUGCUAAUAUUCCAAAAACAAAAGAAAUCUUGCUUAGGCUAUCACAUACAAGUGUUAAAAUCUGGUUGACAUUGACCAACGGAGGCCCUACCCAUGUUACAUGCUAUAAUUCAUAAAUAUCAAAUGCAGCGAGAUUUGAACGCAGAAGUGGAGUAUAUAUAUAUAUAUAUAUAUAUAUAUAUAUAUAUAUAUAUAUAUAUAUAUAUAUAUGUACCUCUUUUUCUCUCUCUUCUCUUCCCAGGUGACCGUUGGCCGACUGCUAGCCCUUUUGCGUCUGACCACGGUCACUGCCACACCGAUAUUCUUUCCUCUGCUGUAAGGCUUCAUUUGCACACACGCCAGCUCAAUUCAAUUCGUCCCCAGUCGAAAGACGCCUGUUGUUAUGUCCUGUUAUUAUUAUUAUUGUUGUUUUUUUAUUGUAUUUUUGUAUUCAUAUUCGUGUAACAUCGUCUGUUUUUCUGUCCUUGUUUUGUAUAUAUUCGAUGCUUUUUUCCCAAGGAAUCUAAUGCUCUUAGCUUAGUUUUUCCUUGGGGCUGGCCAGAUUGGAGCAAUUUCAAGAUUAAUCAGCCGAAAUUGCGAGGAUGAUCCGGUUCUUGACUGAAGAUAAACGGUUUCGAAUGACCCGUCCGUGUUUUUUUUUUGUAUCGUCUAUCUGGAUGUUUUGUCUCUUUUUGUAUCACCUAGUUGUCCGGAUGUUUUGCGUUCUUGUCCCAUUUAGUAUUUUAUUAUAUAUAUAUAUAUAUUAAUCAGAGGAAGGGCAUUAACAUUCCCCCUGUAACAGGUUUUUCGUGUCUGCCAAAAGGUGUAAAGUAUAUGAGCCGUCAAGUAUAUACCAACUCUCACAGCACUUUUACUGACAAGGUUUGGUUCGACUUCAGAUAAUAGAAGAUAAACUUAACCAUGGCGAGGCACAAUGAGAAAGAACUCGGUAACAUUUGAACCAUAACCUCUUAUCGGUUAUGUCUCCCGUGUAAGUGACGAUUGUUGAUUACACUUUGAAGUCCACUCCCUAUCAUCGUCUUUUCAACUGAAGUUGUGAUUUGUGAGAUGAAAACACUUUUACUUUUAAUGUCAGAUUAUGAAAGAAUGUUACAGUUGAGAAGCGUCAACUAUCAGAGCAGCUACAAUACAUUAUCAUAAACAUACAUACAUGAUACACAUAUGAAAAUUCUAGCAUGUACACAUACAAACAUACAUACAUAUAUAUUUAUAAACAUAUACAUAUAUAAGUAUAUAUAAACAGAUGUAUGUGUUUAUAAAUAUAUCUAUACAUAUGCACACUAACACCAAUCUAUAAUAUUUAAUAUAAUGUAUAUGUAUACAUAUAUAUAUAUAUAUAUAUAUAUAUAUGUGUGUGUGUGUGUGUGUGUGUGUGUGUGUGUGUGUUUGGAUGUUUGGGUGUGUAUCUUUGUGUGUUAAUGUUUCAUAUACUGCAUAUCUGGGGGUAUAUGCCUUCAUAAAUGAAGUGGAUUCUCUCUUUCUCCUUCUUUCCUUCUCUCUGUAGAUGUAUGUAUACACAUAUGCAUGUUCAUAUACUUGGAUACACUCACACACACACACACACACACACACACACACACACACACACACAUAUAUAUAGGUAUGUAUACAUAGACAUACAUAAAUGUUUUACUGUCAAUCAUAAGCAAUUUUACAUUAACCUAAUGGGUUACUCUAUACUACAGUUCAACGAAGGCUUUAUGUAUUUAUGCACAUUAUUCUUGUUUAAGAAUAAUAUACACAAAUACGUUUACAUAUACAUGCAUACACACACACACGUAAACAAAUGACAACAGGUGUAUAUUUGUCUAUUCACUACAGCUGUUUCAAACGAUUUCUUUUAUGAAUAGAGUUCUCACAUCAUGCAAAAUAUUGUUUUCAUCAGGUGAAUAUUUAUGAAUUAAUCAUUUAAGAAAGAAAAUUCCAAGAAUCAACAUUAUGAGCCGGCUUUACUGUUUAAGUACCUGAUUCAGUCAAAUUCUGAAUAUAUAUGUAUGUAUAUAUCUAUAUAUAGAGAGUUUUACUGAAGCUGAAAACACUUCGCAGACUAUUAACAAGCUAUUACUCAGAGUUUCACGUAACCGAUCAUCAAACUGUACAAGGACUGAUCAUCGUUAUGUGAAAAUCUGAGAAACGGUUUGUUAGUUCUCCAGUAAAGCACAAUUUUAGACCUUUGCUAUUCGAGUGUUAUUUUCACCUUUGUUGCCCGUAUGUUCUCUCGUGUAUAUAAAUACACAUACAUACACACACAUGACUAUAUGUGCGUAAUUCAAUUAUAUAAAAGCUAAAAAAAACUUUAACUGAACGAUGAACUCAAUAUGUAAAGCUAAAAUUUUGUUAAAACACUUCAUACUGGUUUUGAAGGUUUGUCAAUGCUAGUUCAUCAAACUCUAAUACAAUUGCAACACCCUUUAUGAAUAAAUAGAUAAAAAUUGAAAGUGGCUCGAAUUAAAAUAAGUGUUAUAGACUACUCCAAAAGGGAAUAUACAGAGUGGUCGCCAGAGAAACGGAAAAUUUGAAUCAAACUAAGAAGCAUUGUUUAGAUCAUUAAUUUCCGUUUUUCAUGCAACCACAUUUUAUAUGAGAGACUUGCUAAAUAGAAAAUCUAGAAUAGGUUUGAACUCAAUAUAUGAUAACAGGCAGUAAAAGAGAAUCCAAGUACGGCAGCAUCAUUGCAUCAAUAAUAUUAUGCGCAAAUCUAAGUAUACUUGAUGUGAAAAUGAUGGACACAAAGUUAUAGAGAGUAGAUAAAAGAAGCGAGAGAUCUAGAUGUUGACAUGUUAAACAAUUCAUUGUCUCGUUUAGAAACAAAUUCAGCGAUUUUUGAAGGGAGGGGAUUAGCUGAUACAAUUGAAACCAGUACUUUGCUGGUACUUUAUUUUAUCAUCUCCGUAGGCGGAGAACAGAAUAAGGUGACUUCAACAUUUGAACUCUGAACGUAAAAUGUCUUGAAGAAAUACUGAAAGGUAUUUAAUCCGAAGCAGUAACGAUUUUGUCUGCUCGCUGCCUUUAAGUGCAAUGGACAAAUGAAACCAAUAAAUAUGAAACGCUAUAUGAAAUGCUACAAAGCUGAUAAUGACUAGUAGCUCAAGAACUAUUAAAAAAAUUAUUAUCAGUAACUAUACAUAUGGGAAAAAUUCGAACUUGUUUGAAGAAAGUUUGUGACAGAGAGCUAUAGCUGAAUAAAUUAAAAGUUUUGGGAAAAUCUAUUGAUAUUGUAGAUUUUAGAAAUAAUUAUAUAUAUAUAUAUAUAUAUAUAUAUAUAUAUGCGCAUAUAUAUGCAUAUAUAUGUAUAUAUGUGUAUGUAUAUAUAUGUAUAUACAUAUAUAUAUAUAUGUGCAUAUAUAUGCAUAUAUAUGUAUAUAUAUAUGUAUAUAUAUAUGUAUGCAUAUAUAUAUAUAUAUAUAUAUAUAUAUAUAUAUAUAUAUAUAUAUAUCAUAUGUUUGUGUGCGAACAUGAGUGUAAGAGUCAGAAAAUAUACAUAUAUAUGUGUUUCUGAGUGCAUAAAAAUCAUACUAAGAUGUUUCCACACACGUAUAUAUAUAUAUAUAUAUAUAUAUAUUGGUAUUUAAUGUAAUAGCAUGACUUAGAAGUGUCGGUAAACGUAAUGUAUACAAAUAAGAGAAUUAAAAGUGAUAUAAGAUGAAAUUCAUAUCAUAUGAAAAUUUCGAAUGCAGAUAUUGGAAAGUAAAAAUCACAUAAUCAAAGUGUGAUGAGCAAAUUGAAAGGAUAUAUAUUGUUAGUUACCUUUAAUCUGAUGGGAAUGAAAGAAAGCAUGAAACAAAAUCCAAUAAAAGCAAUAAAUAUGCUGAAAAUGAUCAGAACUGUCUAAUAAAAUAAAUUAAAGAAGCUUAAAUAGCCUUAAUGGUGCAAUUAUGUAUAUAUGUUAAGUCGAAUAGUUAGGCAUGUGAAAAUGUAUUAGAUUAAAUAUAUAAAUUAAUGACGGUACUAAACUGGGAGUCGAGUUUGAUUUUAACAGUCAUAAUAUAAAAGAGCAUUAGAAAUUUACAGAACCAUACAAACUUCAGAAGAUGUAUUAAAAAAAUAUGUUGAAUGUAAGUUAAAAGAAAUAGUUUGUGAAUAACUAUUGCGGUAUAUAUCGAAAGCUGGAAGUGAUAAAUGUAACUGAAUAUUAAAAGAAAUGUGGGAAAUAACCUUUAUGUUAAAAUAAACCGAAAAUUUGGCAAUGUGUAGAGUUAUGAAACUCGACAAAAUUAAAGCCGGUGGAGAGAAUUAUUGGAUACUGCCAGUUAAAAGUUGAAGAAUUACGGUGUUUUAUGCCGACAAUUAUACGUUGAAAAUAAAUAUUACCAUUCAAAGAAUUAGGGUAAAUUACUUGGUGUUAGGAUAGCUAAAACGAAUAUAUAUACUGGCUUAAUUUAUUUUUAGUGAAAGGUGGCGAGCUGGCAAAAUCGUUAGCAUGCCUUUUGAAAAUGCGUAGCGAUGUUUUGUCUAUCUUUACGUUCUGAGUUUAAAAUCCUUGAAGGUCGAUUUUACCUAUUUUCCUUUCGGUGUCGAUAAAUAAGUACCGGUUGCACACUAGAGGUCGAUGUAAUCGACAAGAACUCUUCCACCAAAUUUCAAAGCUUGUGUCUUUAACGGAAAAGAUAAUUUGUAUUUAAUGGUAUAAAAGGCCUACCGCAAAGGUUAAUACGAGAAUACAUAUAUGUGUGAAUAGUUAAGAAGAUGCAAUAGACAAGUCUAAGAUUUUAGUACCCAAAGUAGAUUACAAAAUUUAACUUCCAUAUUCGAAUCCAAAACUAUGCAGGUGUAUGAAAAAAUAUGGCGGAUGCUAUUUUUGGUAAGAAAUAAAGUGAGUAUGAGGGACGAAAGAAAGAUCAUCGCAAAAAAUUCGAGUAUUUGUUUUGAUUAAUUUUUAUAGUGUUAUGCAUAUAGUUAUCUGAUAACGUAUGAGAGGUGUUAAAAAAGAAAAGCAUGUAUAAAUAAUUGUGGUUUAAAGAAAAUUUCUAGAAAAUAAUCGAAAAUAUAUUUAGGAGAAGGAUAAUACAUUGCCAUAGGUUAUAAUGGUAUAGAGCUCGUGAAUAAUAUGUAUACCAGAGAUUUUAAGGAUAUAAGAUUGAGCAUCAAGGAAAUAUAGAUUAACAAUACUCUUUCAAAAAAUCAAAUGUAUAAAAUAUAUAAAAGCAUUGGCAAAUGUAGAAAACAAGAUAAUAGGAAAACUUAAGAGCCGUAGGCGAUUUAUAAAAGUAUAUCAUAGACAUAUACUUAAACGCACGCACACACACACAUAUAUUAUCUACAUAUACUGCUAGCUCAGUUAAUGAAACGAACAUACUCCACUUCCGUUAUGAUCCAAUUGUUCGGCAAAUAAGUUUUAAUUAUUGAAAAAAAUAAAGCUACUGAAAAUACAGGAGGCCUAUAACGUUUUUACGCAUAUUGAAAAUAUUCUAUAAAUUAUAUCUUAUGUAAUUCGAAUAAAUGUGCAAUUUCUUUAGUUUAGUCAACAAAUAUAAAAUUCGAAAUUAGGAAAAGCAAAUAUGAUACAAUGGCUGUGUAAGAAUUUUUAUUUUUGUAAAAAAGCAUCAACGGUUAACUGCUUUGGGUUCUUACAAGCUUCUAAUACUUCCGUAUAACAAUUUAACAUUAUCAUUACAGGAUUUUUAACUUACAUGGUUACUUCAAAGUUUUGGAUUUUUUUCUGAAAUCCACGUGUUAUUUCACUAAUGAUUUCAGGUAAAUUUUCUGUUGUUAAAACGAGUUGUGAAAGAAUCUCUUCUACCUUGACAUCUUCAAAUUCCACUUUCUGCACCGUUUGCAGAAAACUUUCUCAAUAGCAAACUUUUGUAGUCUUCUUUAAUUAAAUUUGGACAUUAUUUUUUCCCAAACCGCAGUGAAAUAUUAAAAACCUCUUUAAUACUUUUUAGAAUUCUUUAGAAUUUUUCGACAUGCUGUAAUUACUGUGAUUAAAUGAUACCUAAAAUAGUACACCUUCAAAGAUGCAUUGGAAUUACUAAGUUCCAUAAAAUCUUAAGUAUAUCACCAAACCUUAGACUAUAAUAUCAAUUUAGUUUUGAUUGUAUGAAAAUGUUUUCUCCAGGAACACACGUUUGGAGUAAAUCAUGAUUUGAAAUAUGGCGAAAGGCAUUGUCUUACAGAACUGCCUUGAGUUCGUUAUUAUACUUAGAAAUGUUUAGAGAAUUGUUCUGAAUAUUAAAAAAUCGUGUAACCCAAAUUUUUCUGUUAGGUUUCCACGUAACAGAAACACUAAAUUCCUGGACUCCUUUCAUUUCUCUUGGAAUAUCAGAAUGAUAAUCUCUAACAUUGUUCCUCUUUAAUUAUAAGAGACGAUAUUUUGCCAUUUGAUAUCCUGCUAACAUUUUUCUCAUUUCAGAUUAAAUUAAGAAAAGUAACACUUUCGAGCUACAGUUCUAUAAAACACUUUAACUGUUGAAAAUGCUGAGGCAACUCAGAUAUCAGCAUGAACCGACUUGUCUGUUAUCCGAAUAUUUGGAGAUUACUAAAGUCUUUCUUUGUGAAUAGCAACAACUAUUAGAACGAUUUAUUUUGCUUCUUUUUUUUUAUCAGUUGAAUAUCUUUAUGCAUUUUACUAAAUACUAGUUUAGAAGUGUGGCGACUGACAUAUCAACCAUCUAAAUACUUAACAGUUUCUUAAUAUUUUCCCUUUUUACUCCUUGUGUGUGGCAGUUAAGCGGUGUUACGCUCUCUUGAACUUCGUAUGGGAACUACAUCUUGUCAGAUUGUUUCACUAUUGUUUUUCUUUUUAUUUUACAGUGCAAGUACUAAUGAUUUCACAGUAACGCUUUUCUCUUCUCUCUCCUCUUCUCAUCUUAUAAUAUUUACUUCGGUAUCAAGUGAUAUUGAACAUUUUAGGUUUACGUGACAUGAUGGAAUAACUAACGUAGAGAAAUGAUUGAAAGCAAUUAAAUCUACUUCAAGAAAUUUCGUAAUUACUACAUAAGUAGAAAGAUGUAGCACGAAAAAACACUCUAGAAUGUAACUGCUACCAAAGUGUGACUAACUGGUUUUGUGUGCAAUAAUAAACUACCCAGAAUCUUUCUUAUAAUAUACAAAGAUAACCAAGUGUACAGCGCAUACAUGUGCAUUUGAAUGAAUGAGAUAUACACAUGCAGUGAAACUCUAAUCUUAUACAUACAUGCAUACAUCUGUAUAUAUAUAUAUAUAUAUAUAUAUAUAUAUAUAUAUAUAUAUAUAUAUUCAUGUAUGCAUAUGUAUGUAUGUAUGUAUAUAUAUAUAUAUAUAUAUAUAUAUAUAUAUAUAUAAUACAUACAUAUAUAUAUUCAUGUAUGCAUAUGUAUAUAUAUAUAUAUAUAUAUAUAUAUAUAUAUAUAUAUAUAUAUGUAUAUAUAUAAGGUGGUUGUAUGCAGUGUUUGACCACCACCUUAGCACCAUCAUGGCAUCUGAUGUGGCUUUUUUAAACUAGACAAUAUUCUGAAAAGACACCCACAUAGAUUGCACCUCUCAUUUGGACCACCAAGACCUGCAGAUAAAUUGUGCUCUUUGUGGAUCUUAAAAUGUCUUUUGAGGCCUUCGUUGUAUUUCUAAACCUACUGGCAUACACUGCAUAUUUAUAUAUACACUUAAAUGUACAUACAUAUUUACAUUUAUAAGCAUACACAAUAAUCAAUUAUUAUUAAUAAUAUUAGAUGUAUUAUAUUAUUCUAUAUAUAUAUGUAUGGAUGUAUGGUUGUAUAUAUAAUCAAUUCGAAUAAACGAAUAAAAAACGAAAAAAAAAGAAAAACGACGAACGUGCGGACGUGCGCAAGAAGUGUAUUAGCUUGACGCUCGGUGAAAGGAGAGAGUUUAACGUCUCGAGCAUACCUCUUCGUUGGAAGAAAAAGGAGAAAAGGCCAAAGAAAAAGAAAUUACCAACGACCCACCUGUAGUUGCAUUUCUGAAGUAUCUGUAUAGAUGUAUGUGUGUGUGUAUGUAUGAGUAUAUUUAUGUAUGCAUGUGUGUAUGUGUUUGUGUGAGUGUGUGUGUGUAUGUGUGUGGUUAAUUUUAAGACCUAUAUACAUCUAUGGUUGUGCAGCGCUGUCAGCAUGGUCCACAGCUGAUAUAUAAUUUUGGCUAUAGGUACGAUGUCAAAUGCACGUCGGUGUAAUAAUAGCUUGCCGUUGAUGAUAAUGCCAGCUGUCCAAAUGUCUCUGAUGAUCAUUUCUAAAGAUACCGUGUAGAACGCACUUCCCUCUUGAACCCUUACAUGUGGUGAUAACUGAGCUACAUUAGUUGUGCAACCAGAGUUCACAUCCCUGAGGAGUUUGGUGAACUGUGCCUCGUAAUCUUGUAUAUCCAGAGAUUUAAUUACUGCCUUCACCCUCACGAUAUAUUUGGCCCAUCCUCAGUCGCGAGCAUCUAUAUUCCAGAGUGAUAGCUAGUGUCCGCUAACGCUAACAAUAUAUUGUAUAUAAAGGGUGCGGAAUCGCACCAAUAGCUAGCUGGCUAAGAAUCUGCCUGGAGUCAAACUAGUAGGAACAUUCAACAGCUACCUUGAUGUGGCGACUGGCGUUACUGUUUGGUAUAGUUUCUACUCUGGUCUCUUCGUGAGAUUUUGAAACUAGGUACCUUGCUUUUAUAUAUAUAUAUAUAUAUAUAUAUAUAUAUAUAUAUAUAUAUAUAUAUAUAUAUAUAUAUAUAUAUAUAUAUAUAUAUAUAUAUAUAUAUAUAUUAUAUAUAUAUAUAUAUAUAUAUAUAUAUAUAUAUAUAUAUAUAUAUUAAUAUAUAUAUAUAUAUAUAUAUAUAUAUAUAUAUACUAUAUGCAUGCACACACGCAUACAUCAAUAUCCUUUUGACUCAGUUCCACGUUACUGAAAGUUAUUUUGGUGCGUAGCACACAGCUUCCCCGUCAAAAGAAGUUCGGAGCCAAACUCUGACGAGAUGGGCGUGUCCUACAUGAGGAAGAAACUUGAAGUAAAAUGGAGAUGAAUGAAACUGUUAUUAAAUAUAUUUAACCCCUACGAAAUAUGCUGUGUUCUACUUAAAGAGCUCUGUUUGGGGUCUCGUUGAACAGCAUCAAGUGUAAGUAGUUAAUAUGUUAUCAUUGCUAUAUGUUAAAGAUGUGUGGUCACCAUAAGAAAUCUUCAGUGACAGGGCAAUGCAUGCCUUGAAAUGAUUUCACAGAAUCGUAUUUAUGUAUUGUUCAUGAUUAACGGAGAUGAUGUGCAAUAAUGUUGUCAUCAAAUGAGCUUGAUUUUUUUUUCCUGUUUCUAAUUUUUGUUUCACUGAUGAAAGUAAUAAAAUUGACAUACUUCCUUUGUACGAUGUUUUCAAGGUCUCUGCUCUUGGAGAGCGUGCAAAUUUGACGAAGAUGUUAAGAUGAUUGUGAAAGGCUCUUGGAUACUGAAAUUUAGAGAAGAAUUAAGCAUGGAUGUAGGCUUUAUUUAUGGCAAGAUAUUUUGUGCUCGGUGACCUGAUGAAAAAUAGCGGAACGCAAGUGACGGAAUUGAGCCGCCAUUGCUGAGGCUUCUCACAGAUUACGAGAAACAAUUUCUUAUUUCGGGUAUGGUAUAAAAGAAAUAUUUUUAAACAAAGAUACCAGUUAGCGUUGCAAGUAGCGUACAAACUAUACUAUAUUUGGAAUUUCUCAGUCUGAGUUAGAAUUAUAGAGUUACUUUCCAUAUCUUACAUUGAAGCGAUUAUGUUCUAAAAUAGCUAGGCCUGGACAAUAAUAGAGACUCUUGCAAUUUGCAAUUGGGGUUAAUUUACCAGGAAGAAUAAAUAAUAAACAGCUAACUGCAAGAGCGCCGGUUUUCUAAACUGAUAACACUUUACAUUCAAUGAUAUCAAUUUUGAUAGGAAAUAGUUUUGAAAAUCUCGAAUAAAAUAGUGUAAACAGAUGGUGCAACAGUGCAUAACCGUUUAGAAGCCAUACGUAAAACAUGCAUAAUGUUAUAUUUAGUGAAGCUACUGGCACAUUCGUUACAUCAAUGCGAGAGAAAUGAUUUGGCGACACGACAUUCAGAAAUUCAAUAAACUUCAUUCAGUAUUUUCAUAGUUAUACUAACACUAGACAGCAGCAAUAUUUUAAAUGUCUGCAAACGUGUUAAAAUACUUGUUAAUAAAUAAUGCUAGAAUCAUUUCUCAUUUCAACUAUAAUAUAACUUGAAAACAUAUAGCCUUUGGUUAAAUGGAAAUAUAUCGGACUAGCUUUUGAUAUCUGGAGAAAUGAAAGUGCUCACUUCGAUGAAUUCAUUAGUAAGUAAAAUAAACAAAAUAUAGAAAUGAAAAUAAAAACAAAAAUAAAAAAAGGUAUUAUACCAAUUUCAUAACCAAAAUGAAUUUAUCUAAGCAGAUAAAAAAAAUUUAAUUGCUGGUUUAAUUCAUUGAUCCGUCAUAACUGUCUGAUAACUAUCAUGACUUUUUUUAUGAUGCUCUUAUCAUUUUUAUAUGCAAUGCUUUCUUCUCUUUAGGCAAAGCACUAAAAUUUACUUGCCUCAGUGAGAAGAGCAAAAUUAGCGCCACCUAUUUGGACAAUGAUAUUCUUUAUGUCUAUUCGACAUAGAAGUGAUCAUGAAAGAGAUAUAUAAUUAUUUUUAUUAAAAACAAACAAAACAUAGAUAGCCGGUUGGUGAUAUUGGUUUCAUGAAAAGAAAUUAUCAUUUAUAAUUUUCAUUCAUAGUUUUCAUUCAAUAGUAUUUCAAUUGCAUGGAUGCAUAGAAACAACUGAAGCACAUAUGCAUACAUAUACAUAUUUACACAGAAGUACAUGCGGCGCGCGCACACACAUGCACACAUAUACACUCACACAUGCAUAUACUUACAAGCAAUAGAUAUGUGUGUGUGUUUGUGUAUGUGUUAAUGGUUAUUUUUAUAUCGAGUUAUGCAUAAGAGCAGUACAUUUUUAUGUUACUUUUAUACGAAAAGGUUGAUGGUGGCUUCGAGGUUUCGAUUUGUUUGCCUUCGUCAGAUUGAACACACGUACAUAUACAUGUUUAUGUAAUGUACGUGUUUGUUUAUUAUUAUAUAUACACUUGUUCACAUUUAUCUAUACAUAUAAACACAUCCGUUUAUAAAUAUCAACCUAUUCGUCCUCGUUCGUCAUCGUCGUCGUCGACGUCCUCCUCCUCUUUUUCCUCUUUCUUCUUCUUCACUUUUUCUUUCCUCUAUGCACCUCCCAACAAAUUUUUUGCAUCAAAUUAUUAUACUUUUUUCAUUAUAUCUAAAUUCCCAUUAAGUUUUUAAAAUAUUAUCUUGUACGAAAAGUAUUAAAACAUGUCUUAUUGCUCUUACUAAACCUCAAGAUGAACCUAAGUAUAUAGAAUAGCUGGACUUACAAACACUUCUACAGUCUGACGAAGUUUCAAAGUCACUUUUCCUUAUUCUCUCUCUCUCUCUCACACACACACACAUACACAUAUACACACGCGCGCUCAUAACUAUAAACAUAAUCGAGUAUCAUGAUGUAUCAAGCUUUCGCAAAUGGUUUUACGUAUAUUUAUAGUCGUGAGAAUCUAUAGACACAACAUUACCCAUACCGUCCAUAACCUUGUAAUAAAUCUUGAUUCUAGUGGCAACUGGAAGGAGAAAGGCCCAAACUGAUCCGGGUUUGAACUCAAGGUGCACAGAGCCAGAACAAAUGUCACUCAUUCUAGUAAGAAGAACAAUAUACAGAGUUUCGCACACAAGACUCGUGCGCCUGUUCUUAAAUUUCCGCUGUCCAAAUUGCCAAUGUUUUUUAAGCCUUGAACCACUUAAGAGAUGGUACUCUCUUCAUGUUACCAUAUUCGUAGGAGGAUUUGCUAAGCCAUUGUUCUGUUGUUUAGCUGCCCCUCACCUUUGACUUAACAGACAAAUAACGCCUUUCCAGCCAUAAUCACAGUGUAUAUAUAUAUAUAUAUAUAUAUAUAUAUAUAUAUAUAUAUAUAUAUAUUCUGAAGCAUAUUGACUAUAGAAAUGUUUGCCUUCUCUUCUUGCGACAUCUAGCAGCUAUAUCUAGCAUGUUGAGCGACCAUAUACAAGACAAUUUGCUGGUUCGUAGUGUUGUACGAUUAAAAUAUUACUAAACCUACACUGAAUCAUUAGUUGGUAUAGCUGUUACAUAACAAGCCUCAUGUGUAUCCUUUUCGUUGUCUUGCAUAAUAUUCAUAUCGGGAUUUUGUUUUUUUCUUUUUGAUGAAAUCUAACAAGAGUAAAUGAAACCCGAGAAUUGAUUAAUUAUUAAUUUUAUUAUUAUUAUUAUCAUUGUUGUUGUUGUUGUUGUUGUUGUUGUUGUUCUCGUGGUUGUUUAACCAAAGGUAAAAUCUGUUCGAGAAGACAUAUUAUGAAAGAAUUUAGACUUUGAUUAUUUCAACAUUUUUUCCUUGCAUGCAGUUCCCUUCUUUUAAGAUGUAAAGCAGUGGGCUUAUAACUUCAGGUUGAUUUCUCAAUGAUCGUUCACAAUUUUGAUGGUCUUCAAAAACAACAGCAAAAAAUACUAAAAUUAGAUGCGAUAUAUUAACGGCUAAAAGAAGAUCAGCUUUUCCUAAAAGCGACAUUUAGUUGACAAGACAUGUAGAAUAUGAAAUUUUCAUCUUAAAUGGAGUUGCAGAUAAUUUCUCAUGGACAAUAUUCGCAGUAAAAGCUUAGUCCAACCUUUCUACAUAUAACAUAGUACUACUUUAAAACAGUUUAUAUAAUAAUUUAAAACAUAGUUACAUAUAUAUAACAUAGUUGUAUAUAUAUAUAUAAUUUAAAAGGGUGGCUUAAAAGGAAUCUUAGUUGUAUAAGAGUCUUAGUCCUUAUACAACUAGACUCAAUACUAUAUUUCAUCUUUCACAAUCAAUUUAUAAAUAUCCUACCGAGUUAUGCGACACAGACUCAAUGUGUUAUCCUAUAAUAUUCUUGUUACUACCUUUCCUGAUGUUUUUCUCCAUUUUUUUGCUCUGAGGAGAAUGGUAAUACGUUAUUAAAUUAAUUUUAAUUAUAAUCAUAAUUAAUUUAAUUUUUUCCAUGUUUCUUACAUGUUGGUGUUAUCAUUUGAAACGAUCGUAUGCACGGAUUAAGAAUUUGAUUAAGAAUUUAACAUCUUCUCAUCUCCAUUUUUUAAUAGCUGCUUGGGCAGUCGCUCAUCACUCAUCCUUACCAAAUGGCCCCCCCCCACUUCAAAUGUCUUUGGAUAAUCAUUGACUCUAUACUUUUACUGCUAUUCCCCUGAAGCACCUCCAUAUUACUAAUGGCUAUUUUCCAUUUUAUCCCCAACAUUUUUCUCAGACAGAAUUGAUGAAAUGUCUAACCUGCCUACGGUAAACAACCCAUGCCUCACUUCCAUAUAGCAAAGAUAGGAGGAUGCAUGUGUUAUAUAACUUUAAUUUGUGAAGAUAUAUGUUGCUUCCACAGACGCCUAUCAAGCCUACCAAAAGCACUACUAGCCCUACUGAUUCUGUAUGAAAUUUCAUCAUCAAGAGCAGUAGUGCUCAAUGUAGUUCCUAAAUAAAUAAAUUUAGGUACAGUCUCCAACCUUUGACCAUUCACAGUUAUAAAAGGUUCCACAUACAACUUGGAGGGAGCGGGAUGGUACAUUAUAACAGUACUUUUUAGAUUGAUUGUUAGACCCAAUGCUGCACAUGCUUUAGAAAUUGCAUUCACCAUGUGCUGCAUAUCUUUCUGAGAUAGAUAUACACACACAUACACACACACACACACACACACACACACACACACACACACACACACACACACACACACAUAUAUAUAUAUAUAUAUAUAUAUAACAGGCAAACUGUUUAUAUACUCAACAAAUGCAGCAGUUAUUCUUUGAAGGAGUCCCUAAUUUGCAUACCGAAUGUGUUUAACAAUAUAACUACCAGCGGCAUAUAUAUAAUCAUUUCAUUCACUUACUGCCUCCUAACUAGUAUAAUAUACAAAUCAUUGUAUUUAUCAUUUUCUGGAGUUGGAGGUAGAAGUAUUUAUUUAUUGUUCAAUGUAAACUACAGGGUGAAAGUUUGAAUCCAGCUAAAGUCUAGUAUUUAUAUUGUAUUUUUGAAUCGCAAUUUUACACCUAUCUCUAUUAAUCAUUAAAAUAAAGCAUAGAAUAAAGGUUCAGAAUUAAGUGUUUUAUUUCGUUAUUUAAUAUUCAUCAUUUAUAGACGCAAAAUUCGAUAUCCUUAUUUUCAUCUCAUCAGUAUAGCUUAUUUACAAUAUAUUAUUAGUGGUUUAAUGUUGUUUCGUUCUCCUAAUUUAUGUAUAAACCAUAUCUGUACAGAAAAUUAAAGAGAAACGGUGGAGCGCUUUCCAACAGUUACAUCCGUCAAGCUGAACUGGACGUUCUCAGUAACAUUUAAACAUUUUGAGGCGUAGAAGUUCAAGCUGGUUAGGCUUUGCUUAGCAAGGAUGAAAUCAACAAGUGUUUCGAAGUAGAAUUAGUCGCCAAGUAGUCAGGUGGCGUUUGCAAUCAACAGUUAACCGUUGAGCAUAAUCAUAAAGGGCGUCAAACAUCUUAACAUCCUAAUUCAUUAUGUAGGCGUAGAAGGACUUGAGAGUGAGAUGAACAACCCAUGUACUCAUUACUGUAAUGAUAAUCCUUCAAUUUCAUCCCAAGUAACUUUCUAAUUCUCUUGUACUCUUUGGAAAUUUUCUCACCUAUUUCUUCUUUCAUUAUUCUAUUGUGUUGCAACAACCCUAGGUCCUUGUGUCCCUCAUCAUUUCUCAGCGAUCUAACGAUAUCAACUAAUGAUACUUUCAUAGAAUCAGAUUCUAAUUUUCGGCCUCUCUUCAUACUUAGCAUUGCAUACUUACUCUAAACUGCUUAACAAUAUUCUUGAUAAAUAUCCUUACUGUUUGGAAUGCAGAUCUUUUUUCCGUUUUGUAUCUAGUUUGAGGUCAUCCAUGUAUAACAGGUGAUAUAUUGUCACCUUCGAUUUGAAAAACGUCAUAAGCAUUAACCACUCUAGAGAGAAAGGAAGAAAGCCUUCCCAUUCCCCCACACCAAUAAAUACACACAUAAAUACGAAUAUAAACAUACACACUGGCACAGACACACUUACAGCAACGAACCCAUCAUCUUCCUGUAGUCCAAAAGGACUAAAAGAAAAAAGCACAAAAGAAAACUCCCCAAAGCAAAACAACACCCACAAUAAGAAAACAGACACCGUUCACGCAAACAUCUUCCUAAUAAAACCAACACCGACACAGCCAAUACGAUCACUAUCACUAAAAUCACCCAAACGCAAACAACCUAAACAUACAGAACAAACACCUACUAUAGCAUCUGAAACUGCAGAUACCACACUCACAGCAAAUACAACACAACCAGAACAACAACAACAAGAAGUGGCGCUAGCAACUAAGUUAGACGAAACUAUUUGCAGUGUUAUUGCAACUGACGUGCUUGCACCGAAAAUGGCAUUACACCAUUUCUUCAAUGUGAAACACCCUUCUCAAGUACCCUCGAAGCGUCGGGUGGUUCAGGAUUGGUGAGGUACCUGAGCCAACCCUGGAUGGGCAUCCCCAGUACUGAGGAAAUCGAACUGUUAUAUUUCUCUUGUUUAAUGGUUAUUGUUAUUGUUUUCCUAAUUGUUUACUCGUUGUUUUGUGUAAAACCUCCACUGUCUCCUGUAUUGUCCCCUAUAUGUCGGCCCUAGAGGCCAAUAAAUUAAAUAAUAAUUAUCAUUAUCAGUAGUAAUAGUAAUAGUAUUAGUGGCAGUAGUAGUACCAUUAAGAGAAUUGUUAUAAUUAACUACUUAACGCUCUGAUGCAUCCAUUUAUUCAUGUAUGCAUUUAUAAUUGGUUUAAAAUUCUGACUUCGUGUAUUUAAUUAAUGUUUUGGUGAAUAAUUAGUGACUUAAGAACAUUCUCCAUGAUU